AGGGGAGUGAAAAAGAACCUGAAACCGUGUACGUACAAGCAGUGGGAGCACGCUUAGGCGUGUGACUGCGUACCUUUUGUAUAAUGGGUCAGCGACUUAUAUUCUGUAGCAAGGUUAACCGAAUAGGGGAGCCGAAGGGAAACCGAGUCUUAACUGGGCGUUAAGUUGCAGGGUAUAGACCCGAAACCCGGUGAUCUAGCCAUGGGCAGGUUGAAGGUUGGGUAACACUAACUGGAGGACCGAACCGACUAAUGUUGAAAAAUUAGCGGAUGACUUGUGGCUGGGGGUGAAAGGCCAAUCAAACCGGGAGAUAGCUGGUUCUCCCCGAAAGCUAUUUAGGUAGCGCCUCGUGAAUUCAUCUCCGGGGGUAGAGCACUGUUUCGGCAAGGGGGUCAUCCCGACUUACCAACCCGAUGCAAACUGCGAAUACC
rnacentral:rRNA from 1 species